rnacentral:rRNA from 1 species
CCUACGGGAGGCAGCAGUGGGGAAUAUUGCACAAUGGGGGGAACCCUGAUGCAGCGACGCCGCGUGAGUGAAGAAGUAUUUCGGUAUGUAAAGCUCUAUCAGCAGGGAAGCAAAUGACGGUACCUGACUAAGAAGCCCCGGCUAACUACGUGCCAGCAGCCGCGGUAAUACGGAGGGGGCAAGCGUUAUCCGGAUUUACUGGGCGUAAAGGGAGCGCAGACGGCUGUGCAAGUCUGGAGUGAAAGGUGGGGGCCCAACCCACGGACUGCUCUGGAAACUGUAAAGCUGGAGUGCAGGAGAGGUAAGCGGAAGUCCUAGUGUAGCGGUGAAAUGCGUAGAUAUUAGGAGGAACACCAGUGGCGAAGGCGGCUUACUGGACUGCAACUGACGUUGAGGCUCGAAAGCGUGGGGAGCAAACAGGAUUAGAUACCCCUGUAGUC